rnacentral:tRNA from 1 species
UGCAUCGGCCGGGAAUUGAACCCGGGCCGCCAGCGUGGCAGGCGAGCAUUCUACCACUGAACCACCGAUGC